CUCUGGUGACGCCCAUCACUGCAAAGACCCUUUUCCUUCAUCGGGGUUUGCUGUUCUUCCUGCCAGUGCGUGUUGCUUUCACUUACACUUGCCACAGCCAGCCUCGUGAGUGCCUAGCCUAUUGGAUAUCACUGUCACCUACACAGGACAGUCAUUACCUUUCUAUUAAUACUUUGUUUUUUAAUUUCACAUUAAUUUCCAUAUUGUAUAAACGACUGGAAAAAAACUUGAGCCCCUGCCCCUGUAUAAUCAUGUGCACGUCCCUGUUCUUGCUCCAAGGUGAAUCUUCACUGCUCAUGUUCUCCUCAGAAGCAUUCACCUCACUCCCCUCAGGUUACUGUACACAUGCACCAACUGCCUGCUUCAGGUUUGGAUGGAGCUUCAUGGUUGUCUUUUGGAGAAAUGAACAGUCAAGUUGUGUUUGAAAUUUGAUUUUUUUCAGGGGCAAAAGGAAGCCUCUGCAUUCUUGUCAAAUAUGUAAACAGCAUGUUUUUGCAGGUGCUAAAAAACAGACUCUGAGUGUGUGUGUGUGUGUGUGUGUGUGUGUAUCCUGCAGUACUCUGUACUCCUGCAGUGACCAAAAAGACUUUUAAGAAUGUGGAUUUUUGGGUCAUCUUUGGCGCCCCCUAGAACUGCAGUACUCUUUACUCCUGCAGUGGCCAAAAUGACUUUUAAGAAUGUGGAUUUUUGGGUCAUCUUUGGCGCCCCCUAGAACGUAAACCGUGGGGUGCAGCGGCAUGAUUUUUACAACUUUGAAUGGGCAUGGGGUGUAGAUUGCCCUGAGCAAAUUUGGUAUCGGUGGGACGAAAGCCUUAGGAGGAGAUAGCCACAUUCCAAUGUGUGUGAAUCGGCAAAAAAUGCGAAAUAGCCCUUUAACCGUACAUUUGACAGAUACGUGCCUAUUGACUUUUUUGUAGAUCUUAUUGAGAUACACGUGAUUGUCAAAUUGUGUGUCAAUAUGACAAAGUGUAUAGGCGUGACACUCAACAAUGUGUAUUUUUACCUUAGGAGACAAGAAAAAAUUGACUUUUUUCUCCUGCCAUGGGGGGGCGCUCUUUUGGGGAGUAAAGAUUCCUUCACAAAUGUGUUGAUGGCUGGACAUUGCAUCAUCCUAGAAACCUUGGAGGCCAGUGAGGACAAAAAUAAAAAGUUAUAAGACUUUUAAGAAUGUGGAUUUUUGGGUUAUCUUUGGCGCCGCCUAGAACCUAAACCGUGGGGUGCAGCGUCAUGAUUUGUACAACUUUUAAUGGCCAUGGGGUGUAGAUUGGCCUGAGCAAAUGUGGUGCCGGUGGAACGAAAGCCUUCGGAGGAGUUAGCGAAAUUCCAAUGUGUGCGGAUCGGCAAAAAAAGCGAAAUAGCCCUUUAACCAUACAUUUGACAGAUACGCCCGCACUGACUUUUUCGUAGAUCUUAUUGAGAUACACAUGUGUGUCAAAUUUUGUGUCAUUUUGACAAAGCGUACAGGCAUCAGGUGAGUUUUCACCAUAGGGGGCGCUAUGGAGCCAUUUUUCAUUUUUUUGUUUGGACGACUUCAGAAUAUCAAAUUUUUCACCAGGCCCAGUCGUCCUGCCAAAUUUCCUGAGUUUUCGCCAGUGGGAAGUGGGCCAUUUUCCAGUUUAAAGCGGAGGAAAAAUAACGAAAGAAGAAUCCAUCAGGAACAAGAGGGCUCUCGCAGCUGCUUAGCAGCUACGCUCGGGCCCUAAAAAACCACUUGGGGAAUAAUAGGGCCUACGCCCGGCUGCUCUGCAGCUGGCUCGGGCCCUAAUAAUAACACUAGGGCCCCGUUGGGGCACUGGCGGGCCCGAGCCGUGUCGCGCCGCCCCCAGCGCGACCGCCUACCCCUCCCGAUCGCGUCACACUCAAGGUCCAAAGAUGGUGUGGGCACUUGUCUGUAGUCAUUUACCAUUAUAAUGAAUGGGAGGCGCAGUUUCUACCAAAACGCUCGCUGCAGACAAACUCCAUGUCCUUUUUGAAAAAAGUCUGGACCAUGAGUGAGGGCACAAACACAGCUAGUAUAUAUCCAAAUGGCAAGUUGCUCCUCCUUUCCGUUUUGCCGAGAGAGCGAUGCGUUUGAGCCAUUGAGCGAUGGGCAGGAAAAACUUGACUUUUUCUCCUGCCAUGGGGGGGCGCUCUUUUGGGGAGAAAAAAUUCCUUCACAAAUGUGUUGAUGGCUGGACAUUGCAUUCCUAGAAAACUUGGAGGCCAGUGAGGACAAAAAUAAAAAGUUAUAAGACUUUUAAAAAUGUGGAUAUUUGGGUCCUCUUUGGCGCCCCCUAGAACGUAAACCGUGGGGUGCAGCGUCAUGAUUUGUACAACUUUAAAUGGCCAUGGGGUGUAGAUUGACCUGAGCAAAUUUGAAGCCGAUGGGACAAAAGCUUUAGGAGGAGUUAGCCACAUUCCAAUGUGUGCGAAUCGGCAAAAAAUGCGAAAUAGCCCUUUAAUCGUACAUUGAACAGAUACGCUCGCAUUGACUUUUUCGUAGAUCGUAUUGAGAUACAUGUGUGUGUCAAUUUUUGUGUCAUUUUGACAAAGCGUAAAGGCGUGACAGUCAACAAUGUGUAUUUUCGCCUUAGGAGACAAGAAAAAAUGGACUUUUUUCUCCUGCCAUUGGGGGGCGCUCUUUUGGGGAGUAAAAAUUCCUUCACAAAUGUGUUGAUGGCUGGACAUUGCAUCAUCCUAGAGAACUUGGAGGCCAGUGAGGACAAAAAUAAAAAGUUAUAAGACUUUUAAGACUGUGGAUUUUUGGGUUAUCUUUGGCGCCCCCUAGAACGUAAACCGUGGGGUGCAGCGUCAUGAUUUGUACAACUUUUAAUGGCCAUGGGGUGUAGAUUGGCCUGAGCAAAUGUGGUGCCGUUGGAACGAAAGCCUUCGGAGGAGUUAGCGAAAUUCCAAUGUGUGCGGAUCGGCAAAAAAUGCGAAAUAACCCUUUAACCGUACAUUUGACAGAUACGCCCGCACUGACUUUUUUGUAGAUCUUAUUGAGAUACAUGUGUGUGUCAAUUUUUGUGUCAAUAUGACAAAGCGUAAAGGCGUGACAGUCAAUAGUGUGAAUUUUCACCUUAGGGGGCGCUAUGGAGCCAUUUUGCAUUUUAUUGUUUGGGCGACUUCAGAAUAUCGAAUUUUUCACCAGGCCCGGUCGUCCUGCCAAAUUUCAUGAGUUUUCGCCAGUGGGAAGUGGGCCAUUUUCCAGUUUAAAGCGGAGGAAAAAUAAUAAUAAUAACUAGGACCCCGUUGGGGCACUGGCGGGCCCGAGCCGUGUCGCGUCCCCCCCCCCCCCCCCAACGUGCUGCCUCCCCGUCCCAUUUGUGUCCUCUGGCCAUCGCCCUCUCUGGUAACGCCCAUCACUGCAAAGACCCUUUUCCUUCAUCGGCGUUUGCUGUUCUUCCUGCCAGUGCGUGUUGCUUUCACUUACACUUGCCACAGCCAGCCUCGUGAGUGCCUAGCCUAUUGGAUAUCACUGUCACCUACACAGGACAGUCAUUACCUUUCUAUUAAUACUUUGUGUUUUAAUUUCACAUUAAUUUCCAUAUUGUAUAAACGACUGGAAAAAACUUGAGCCCCUGCCCCUGUAUAAUCAUGUGCAUGUCUCUGUUCUAGCUCCAAGGUGAAUCUUCACUGCUCAUGUUCUCCUCAGAAGCACUCACCUCACUCCCCUCAGGUUACUGUACACAUG
rnacentral:lncRNA from 1 species